rnacentral:rRNA from 1 species
GACAGAGGAGCCAAGCGUUGUCCGGAUUGACUGGGCGUAAAGCGCACGCAGGCGGAUGCGCGCGUGGGGUGUGAAAUCUGGCCGCUUAACGGCCAGGCGCCAUCCCAUACGGCGCGUCUGGAGUGAUGCAGAGGUCGAUGGAAUUGCCGGUGUAGUGGUGAAAUGCGUAGAGAUCGGCAGGAACACCCAGGGGGAAACCAGUCGACUGGGCGUCUACUGACGCUGAGGUGCGAGAGCGUGGGGAGCGAACCGG